UAUAUUUCUACAUGCAGGGACCUACAAUCGGAAUCCACGUUUCAUUGCUGGAUAUUUUCUUGAUGCUGUGGAAACAGAAAAUGGUUGUCCACACCUUGUGAGAGCAGAUAGGGGUUGUGAAAAUUCUUUAGUUGCCACCCCGUCACCAUGACAGCUUAGCAGGAGUUAACAGUUUCAGAUAUGGGAAGUCUAUACAUAAUCAAACACUGUGUCCAAUAUUGCUUUUUACCUCUAAUUGAAAGGCAGCUUUACUCUGAGCGCAUUGAAUGGAACAACCACAGGAUUCGUAAGCAGACUUUAGCUGCAGGACCAUUUGGAAAACCAGACAUACUUUAUUUUUGUCCUCC